rnacentral:rRNA from 1 species
GAGACAGCAGUCGCCGCGGUAAUACGAAGGGUGCAAGCGUUAAUCGGAAUUACUGGGCGUAAAGCGUGCGUAGGCGGUGAGUUAAGUCUGCUGUGAAAUCCCCGGGCUCAACCUGGGAAUGGCAGUGGAUACUGGCUCGCUAGAGUGUGUCAGAGGAUGGUGGAAUUCCCAGUGUAGAGGUGAAAUUCGUAGAUAUUGGGAAGAACACCGGUGGCGAAGGCGGCGACCUGGUCCGAUACUGACGCUGAGGCGCGAAAGCGUGGGGAGCAAACAGGAUUAGAUACCCCAGUAGUCCCUGUCUCUUAUAC